rnacentral:rRNA from 1 species
UACGGAAGGCAGCAGUGGGGAAUAUUGCACAAUGGGCGAAAGCCUGAUGCAGCUAUGCCGCGUGUAUGAAGAAGGCCUUAGGGUUGUAAAGUACUUUCAUCGGGGAGGAAAAAACAAAACUAAUAAUUUUAUUUCUUGACGUUACCCGAAAAAGAAGCACCGGCUAACUCCGUGCCAGCAGCCGCGGUAAUACGGAGGGUGCUAGCGUUAAUCAGAAUUACUGGGCGUAAAGAGCACGUAGGUGGUUUUUUUAAAGUCAGAUGUGAAAUCCCUGGGCUUUAACCUAGGAACUGCAUUUUGAAACUGAAAUACUAGAGUAUCGUAGAGGGAGGUAGAAUUCUAGGUGUAGCGGUGAAAUGCGUAGAUAUCUGGAGGAAUACCUGUGGCGAAAGCGGCCUCCUAAACGAAUACUGACACUGAGGGUGCGAAAGCGUGGGGAGCAAACAGGGAUUAGAUACCCGU